rnacentral:tRNA from 1 species
GGGAUUGUGGCUCAGUGGUAGAGCGCUACCCUAACAAGGGUGAGAUCCGGGUUCGAUCCUCAGCACCA